rnacentral:rRNA from 1 species
UACGGGGGGAGCAAGCGUUGUUCGGAUUUACUGGGCGUAAAGGGCGCGUAGGCGCUCCGCAAGUCAGUUGUGAAAUCUCCGGCUUAACUCGGAAAGGUCAGCCUGAUACUGCGGGGCUAGAGUGCGGAAGGGGCAACUGGAAUUCUCGGUGUAGCGGUGAAAUGCGUAGAUAUCGAGAGGAACACCUGCGGCGAAGGCGGGUUGCUGGGCUGACACUGACGCUGAUGCGCGAAAGCUAGGGGAGCGAACGGG